AGAAUCAACGCUGGCGGCGUGCCUAACACAUGCAAGUCGAACGAGAAAGUGGAGCAAUCCAUGAGUAAAGUGGCGCACGGGUGAGUAACACGUGACUAACCUACCCUUGAGUGGGGGAUAACCUCGGGAAACCGAGGCUAAUACCGCAUAAUAUCGAGAGAUCAAAGGAGCAAUUCGCUUAAGGAGGGGGUCGCGGCUGAUUAGCUAGUUGGUGAGGUAAUGGCUCACCAAGGCUAUGAUCAGUA
rnacentral:rRNA from 1 species